GAACGCUGGCGGCGUGCCUAAUACAUGCAAGUAGAACGCUGAAGGAGGAGCUUGCUUCUCUGGAUGAGUUGCGAACGGGUGAGUAACGCGUAGGUAACCUGCCUGGUAGCGGGGGAUAACUAUUGGAAACGAUAGCUAAUACCGCAUAAGAGUAGAUGUUGCAUGACAUUUGCUUAAAAGGUGCACUUGCAUCACUACCAGAUGGACCUGCGUUGUAUUAGCUAGUUGGUGGGGUAAGGGCUCACCAAGGCGACGAUACAUAGCCGACCUGAGAGGGUGAUCGGCCACACUGGGACUGAGACACGGCCCAGACUCCUACGGGAGGCAGCAGUAGGGAAUCUUCGGCAAUGGACGGAAGUCUGACCGAGCAACGCCGCGUGAGUGAAGAAGGUUUUCGGAUCGUAAAGCUCUGUUGUAAGAGAAGAACGAGUGUGAGAGUGGAAAGUUCACACUGUGACGGUAUCUUACCAGAAAGGGACGGCUAACUACGUGCCAGCAGCCGCGGUAAUACGUAGGUCCCGAGCGUUGUCCGGAUUUAUUGGGCGUAAAGCGAGCGCAGGCGGUUAGAUAAGUCUGAAGUUAAAGGCUGUGGCUUAACCAUAGUAUGCUUUGGAAACUGUUUAACUUGAGUGCAGAAGGGGAGAGUGGAAUUCCAUGUGUAGCGGUGAAAUGCGUAGAUAUAUGGAGGAACACCGGUGGCGAAAGCGGCUCUCUGGUCUGUAACUGACGCUGAGGCUCGAAAGCGUGGGGAGCAAGCAGGAUUAGAUACCCUGGUAGUCCACGCCGUAAACGAUGGGUGCUAGGUGUUAGGCCCUUUCCGGGGCUUAGUGCCGCAGCUAACGCAUUAAGCACUCCGCCUGGGGAGUACGACCGCAAGGUG
rnacentral:rRNA from 1 species